rnacentral:rRNA from 1 species
GACGAACGCUGGCGGCGUGCUUAACACAUGCAAGUCGAACGGUGAGGCCCUGCUUUUGGUGGGUACUCGUGUGGCGAACGGGUGAGUAAUACCUUAUUAACCUGACCUGGAGUGUGGGAUAACUUCAAGAAACGGGGGCGAAUACCGGAUAGGUGCUCCUGUUGCGUGGAGUUGGUGGGAAAUUUUAGGCGGAUGUGGAUGGACUUGCUGCUUAUCAGCUUGUUGGUGGGGUAGUAGCUUUCCGAGGCUUUGGCGGGUACCCGGGCUGAGAGGGUGAACGGCCACAUUGGGACUGAGGACACGGCCCGAAUCCUACGGGGGGCAGCAGGGGGGAAUAUUGCGCCAUGGGCCGAAGCCUGAUGCAGGAACGACGCGGGCGGGAAAGCGGCGUUAGGGUUGUAAAACGCUUCUGCCGGCGACGAAGCGUGCGUGACGGGAAUGGGUAAAGAAGCACCGGCUAACUCCGUG